rnacentral:rRNA from 1 species
GGUUAAGUGACUAAGCGUACACGGUGGAUGCCUGGGCAGUCAGAGGCGAUGAAGGACGUACUAACUUGCGAUAAGCGCAGAUAAGGCAGUAAGAGCCGUUUGAGUCUGCGAUUUCCGAAUGGGGAAACCCAACUGCAUAAGCAGUUACUGUUAACUGAAUACAUAGGUUAACAGAGCAAACCGGGGGAACUGAAACAUCUAAGUACCCCGAGGAGAAGAAAUCAACCGAGAUUCCGGUAGUAGCGGCGAGCGAACCUGGAUUAGCCCUUAAGCACUCGGUGAAGUAGGUGAACAAGCUGGAAAGCUUGGCGAUACAGGGUGAUAGCCCCGUAACCGACGCUUCAUCGAGCGUGAAAUCGAGUAGGGCGGGACACGUGAUAUCCUGUCUGAAUAUGGGGGGACCAUCCUCCAAGGCUAAAUACUCCUGACUGACCGAUAGUGAACCAGUACCGUGAGGGAAAGGCGAAAAGAACCCCUGUGAGGGGAGUGAAAUAGAACCUGAAACCGUGUACGUACAAGCAGUAGGAGCACCUUCGUGGUGUGACUGCGUACCUUUUGUAUAAUGGGUCAGCGACUUAUAUUCAGUGGCAAGGUUAACCGUAUAGGGGAGCCGUAGCGAAAGCGAGUCUUAACUGGGCGCUCAGUCUCUGGAUAUAGACCCGAAACCGGGUGAUCUAGCCAUGGGCAGGUUGAAGGUUGAGUAACAUCAACUGGAGGACCGAACCGACUAAUGUUGAAAAAUUAGCGGAUGACUUGUGGCUAGGGGUGAAAGGCCAAUCAAACUCGGAGAUAGCUGGUUCUCCCCGAAAGCUAUUUAGGUAGCGCCUCGGACGAAUACUACUGGGGGUAGAGCACUGUUAAGGCUAGGGGGUCAUCCCGACUUACCAACCCUUUGCAAACUCCGAAUACCAGUAAGUACUAUCCGGGAGACACACGGCGGGUGCUAACGUCCGUCGUGGAGAGGGAAACAACCCAGACCGCCAGCUAAGGUCCCAAAGUAUUGCUAAGUGGGAAACGAUGUGGGAAGGCUCAGACAGCUAGGAUGUUGGCUUAGAAGCAGCCAUCAUUUAAAGAAAGCGUAAUAGCUCACUAGUCGAGUCGGCCUGCGCGGAAGAUGUAACGGGGCUAAGCAAUACACCGAAGCUGCGGCAAUAUCUUUUAGAUAUUGGGUAGGGGAGCGUUCUGUAAGCCGUUGAAGGUGAAUCGUAAGGUUUGCUGGAGGUAUCAGAAGUGCGAAUGCUGACAUGAGUAACGACAAAGGGGGUGAAAAACCUCCUCGCCGGAAGACCAAGGGUUCCUGUCCAACGUUAAUCGGGGCAGGGUGAGUCGACCCCUAAGGUGAGGCCGAAAGGCGUAAUCGAUGGGAAACGGGUUAAUAUUCCCGUACUUCUGACUAUUGCGAUGGGGGGACGGAGAAGGCUAGGUGGGCCAGGCGACGGUUGUCCUGGUUCAAGUGCGUAGGCUUGAGAGUUAGGUAAAUCCGGCUCUCUCUAAGGCUGAGACACGACGUCGAGCUACUACGGUAGUGAAGUCAUUGAUGCCAUGCUUCCAGGAAAAGCCUCUAAGCUUCAGAUAGUCAGGAAUCGUACCCCAAACCGACACAGGUGGUCGGGUAGAGAAUACCAAGGCGCUUGAGAGAACUCGGGUGAAGGAACUAGGCAAAAUGGUACCGUAACUUCGGGAGAAGGUACGCUCUUGAUGGUGAAGUCCCUCGCGGAUGGAGCUGACGAGAGUCGCAGAUACCAGGUGGCUGCAACUGUUUAUUAAAAACACAGCACUGUGCAAAAUCGCAAGAUGACGUAUACGGUGUGACGCCUGCCCGGUGCCGGAAGGUUAAUUGAUGGGGUUAGCGCAAGCGAAGCUCUUGAUCGAAGCCCCGGUAAACGGCGGCCGUAACUAUAACGGUCCUAAGGUAGCGAAAUUCCUUGUCGGGUAAGUUCCGACCUGCACGAAUGGCGUAAUGAUGGCCACGCUGUCUCCACCCGAGACUCAGUGAAAUUGAAAUCGCUGUGAAGAUGCAGUGUACCCGCGGCUAGACGGAAAGACCCCGUGAACCUUUACUACAGCUUGGCACUGAACAUUGAACCUACAUGUGUAGGAUAGGUGGGAGGCUAUGAAGACGUGACGCCAGUUGCGUUGGAGCCGUCCUUGAAAUACCACCCUUGUAUGUUUGAUGUUCUAACUUAGACCCGUUAUCGGGUUGAGGACAGUGCCUGGUGGGUAGUUUGACUGGGGCGGUCUCCUCCCAAAGAGUAACGGAGGAGCACGAAGGUGGGCUAAUCACGGUUGGACAUCGUGAGGUUAGUGCAAUGGCAUAAGCCCGCUUAACUGCGAGAAUGACGGUUCGAGCAGGUGCGAAAGCAGGUCAUAGUGAUCCGGUGGUUCUGUAUGGAAGGGCCAUCGCUCAACGGAUAAAAGGUACUCCGGGGAUAACAGGCUGAUACCGCCCAAGAGUUCAUAUCGACGGCGGUGUUUGGCACCUCGAUGUCGGCUCAUCACAUCCUGGGGCUGAAGUCGGUCCCAAGGGUAUGGCUGUUCGCCAUUUAAAGUGGUACGCGAGCUGGGUUUAGAACGUCGUGAGACAGUUCGGUCCCUAUCUGCCGUGGGCGUUGGAAGAUUGAAGGGGGCUGCUCCUAGUACGAGAGGACCGGAGUGGACGAACCUCUGGUGUUCGGGUUGUGUCGCCAGACGCAUUGCCCGGUAGCUAAGUUCGGAAUUGAUAAGCGCUGAAAGCAUCUAAGCGCGAAGCGAGCCCUGAGAUGAGUCUUCCCUGACAGUUUAACUGUCCUAAAGGGUUGUUCGAGACUAGAACGUUGAUAGGCAGGGUGUGUAAGCGUUGUGAGGCGUUGAGCUAACCUGUACUAAUUGCCCGUGAGGCUUAACCAU